UACGUAGGGGGCGAGCGUUGUUCGGAUUUACUGGGCGUAAAGCGCGCGUAGGCGGCUAGAUAAGUCGGGAGUGAAAUCCCGCGGCUCAACCGAGGAACUGCAUCCGAUACUGCCUGGCUUGAGUCUAGGAGAGGAAAGCGGAAUUCCCAGUGUAGCGGUGAAAUGCGUAGAUAUUGGGAGGAACACCGGUGGCGAAGGCGGCUUUCCGGACUAGCACUGACGCUGAGGCGCGAAAGCUAGGGGAGCGAACGGG
rnacentral:rRNA from 1 species